rnacentral:rRNA from 1 species
GUCUGUAUGAAGUUAUAUAGAGUCUGGCCUGCCCGUUGAAGUAAUUUGAAAGGCCGCGGUAUAUUAACUGUGCAAAGGUAGCAUAAUCAUUAGCUUUUUAAUUGAAGGCUUGUAUGAAGGGUCUGACAAAGAAAAAGCUGUCUUUAAAAUUAUUUUUGAAUUUAACUUUUAAGUGAAAAGGCUUAAAUAAAUUUAAGGGACGAUAAGACCCUAUAAAUCUUUAUAUUAAAUUAUUAUUCUGAAUUUUAAUAUUUGUUUAGAUUAUUAGUUAUAAUAAUAAAUAUUUUGUUGGGGUGACGAGAAUAUAAAAUUAACUGUUCUUAAAAUAAACAAAGUUAUUUGUUGAAAAAUUUAUAGAUCCUUUUUAAAGAUUAAAAGUUUAAGUUACUUUAGGGAUAACAGCGUUAUUUUUUUUGAGAGUUCUUAUCGAAAAAAAAGUUUGCGACCUCGAUGUUGAAUUAAAAUUUCUCUACGGUGUAGAAGUUGUGGAAGAGAGUCUGUUCGACUUUUGAAAUUUU